rnacentral:rRNA from 1 species
AACGAACGCUGGCGGCAGGCUUAACACAUGCAAGUCGAGCGCCCCGCAAGGGGAGCGGCAGACGGGUGAGUAACGCGUGGGAAUCUACCCAUCUCUACGGAAUAACGCAUGGAAACGUGUGCUAAUACCGUAUACGUCCUUCGGGAGAAAGACUUAUCGGAGAUGGAUGAGCACGCGUUGGAUUAGCUAGUUGGUGGGGUAAAGGCCUACGAAGGCGACGAUCCAUAGCUGGUCUGAGAGGAUGAUCAGCCACACUGGGACUGCGACACGGCCCAGACUCCUACGGGAGGCAGCGGUGGGGAAUAUUGAACAAUGGGCGCACGCCUGAUCCAGCCAUGCCGCGUGAGUGAUGAAGGCCCUAGGGUUGUAAAGCUCUUUCACCGGGGAAGAUAAUGACGGUAACCGGAGAAGAAGCCCCGGCUAACUUCGUGCCAGCCGCCGCCGUAAUAC